UCCUUGGUAGCUCAGCAGGUUAAGAGCUGGCAUUGUCACUUCUGUGGCACAGGUUCAAUCCCUGGCCUAGGAA
rnacentral:tRNA from 1 species